rnacentral:lncRNA from 1 species
AUCAAGUUUGAUAUUGUGUGAAAUGACAGUUUUUUUAUACAAUCAUUUUAAUAAAACUUUUUUCAAUGAGUGGGAAGAUUUCAUUCACAUAGGGGCAAUGUUAUCUAUAAUGUAACCCAAGAAUGUACAACUAGAAUUGAAAUUAAAAUCCCUAUAUCACAACUCAACAAAAACCGAACCGUUCAAAAUCCCAUUUAUUUCAUAUAAAUUACGACCGAAAAAACAAGGAAUCACUUAUCUCUGCCAAAAAUCAUAAUAUUUUUCCUGCUGCUCUUGAAAGAAAAAAAAUCUUGAAAAUCUCAAGGUAAUAUUUCAUUAUUUGGGAUUUUGGUUUUCAUUAAUAAAUUUGUUGAUUUGGUUACAUUAUAAUUCCCAAAAAGAAAAAAAAAAAUGCAUUCAAAUUGAAAUAUUGCUCCAGGAACUUAAUGAAACAUCAUCUAUUGAGGAAGUAAAUCACCAGUGUGAAAACAAUCCAAGAACGGCAAGGGCUGAAUCAGGGAUAGAUUCAGAACCGGAUUACAAGCCGGACUAAUAUGUAGGAAAAAAUUAAUUUACACAUAAAUUUUUUUCUACAAAAUGAAAAUUACACUAAAAAAAUAACGAGCUGGGAAUUGGAUCCGUCUUUGGGCUAAAUAAUGAUCCCUAAUCUUGAAGAGAACACGCGAACAAGAUGGAAACAUCUAAACCUUGUUUGAUAGAGAUUUUUUGAGAAUAAAUAUUAUGAAAAGUGUUUUUUCCGAAAAAUGUGUCGCUAAAAAGUCGAGAAAAUUAUGUUUUCACAUAUAAAAUAAUUUUAUUUAAAGAAUUAUACACAAGGUCGAACAUGAGCAAAGUAAAGACAUACAAAUCUGCGACGCCAAGGAUUGAUUUGAAGCAAACAAUUCCACAUAAAUUCGUCAUUAUUUUCUAAAAUUUAUGGGCAUCAGACACAGGACCUAAUCUCUUCAGGCACACAAUUCGGAGUAGAAACAAAGGAAUCUUUUGACGAUAAUAAAUACGGUAAAUAGUACAAAACAUAUAAUGUUCAUACAUUUCAUUUUUUGACAUUUUCAUCCCUAUUUUCACCUUUCAUUGCGCAAAGUCAUUUUUAUCCAUUUUUUUAAUAAAAAAACGAUUUUACCCCCUCGUUCAAAUAAAACAAGAAGAAAAGAAAAAACAAUAAAGAGCUAAUUGCAACUAUAAUCCCAAAUUUUUUAAAAAUUACAAAUCAAUCACAAAUAUAAACUUAAAAAAAAAAAAAAAACAAGGAAAAAAAAACACUAUUUUUAGUUACUAUCUUUACCAUAUAAUUUUUGUCAUUUCUUAUAUAAGAAUACAAAACUAUUUCAUAGAACCCAGUGAUUAGAAAUGGAACAAUUCUUUUUUAAUUAAGAUAUGCUUCAAUAUUAUCCACUUGUGUGAAAAAACUUGGCCAAAUUUUCAGUGCAAUGUAACAUUAAUUUCUGGUUUUCACUUAUUUUCACACGUUUCAAUUAUUUAAUUUGGUAGUAAAUCUUGAAGACAUAAUGUAGAAUAUUAAGUUUAACUUGUGAUUUGUGACAUGCAUUAUGCAAGGGCCGCGUCACAACAUCCUUAGCAAGCCGUGUCUCUAUGGGUUGUUCGUAGGGCCAUGUUCGUUGGCACACCUUAAAUCAAUCGAAGGACUCAUAAUGAUAGUAUAAUGGAAAAAUCCAAACUUCUAAGGUGGGGGACAGGCUCAAAAACAGGACGCCCACGUGAUAGCCCCCUAUUGGAGGGUCGGCUGUUGAAAACAGGGCGCCCACGUGGCAGCCCCCUAUUGGAGGGUCGACUGUCCCCAACAGCCGACCCUCCAAUAAGGGGGCACCACGUGGACGCCCUAUUUUUUGCCCUAUCCCCCACCCUGGACAGGAAGCAAAAUUGUAAUAUAAUUCAAUUCAUGCCACUCAACCUAAGCAAAUUGAAGUUGGGCGAAAUUCAACAAAUUCAUAACUUUACAAAUCAAUGUAGUCCUCUAAAGCUCAAUACGAUUGAAUUCAAGUUGUACACUUGUACUUAAAAAUAAAAGGUUUCAUUA